rnacentral:lncRNA from 1 species
UUAAAGCAUAAACUAUUUUUUCACGCCCAACCUCAACCAAGAACCUGGACAUAGAAAGUAGAUUGGGGUUUUUAACUACCGGGGCAGGGAUGUUUCCUUCCCUGCGAGGUACCAAAACAAUUCUCUUCCCUUUGAUGCUAAGAGAAUAAGUAUUCUUCCGCCCAUCAUGGAUAACACUGCGAUCAUACUGCCAAGGUCGUCC